rnacentral:rRNA from 1 species
UACAGAGGGGGCCAGCGUUAUUCGGAAUUAUUGGGCGUAAAGGGCGCGUAGGCGGCUUUGCGUGUCUUUCGUGAAAUCCCUCGGCUCAACUGAGGACGUGCGGAAGAAACUGCAGGGCUGGAGUCCGGGAGAGGAGGGUGGAAUUCCCAGUGUAGCGGUGAAAUUCGUAGAUAUUGGGAAGAACACCGGUGGCGAAGGCGGCGCUCUGGACCGAGACUGACGCUGAGGCGCGAAGGCGUGGGGAGCAAACAGG